rnacentral:rRNA from 1 species
GACGAACGCUGGCGGCGUGCUUAACGCAUGCAAGUCGAACGGAAAGGCCCUGCUUUUGUGGGGUGCUCGAGUGGCGAACGGGUGAGUAACACGUGAGUAACCUGCCCUUGCCUUUGGGAUAACUUCAGGAAACUGGGGCUAAUACCGGCAAGGAGCUCCUGCUGCAUGGUGGGGGUUGGAAAGUUUCGGCGGUUGGGGAUGGACUCGCGGCUUAUCAGCUUGUUGGUGGGGUAGUGGCUUACCAAGGCUUUGACGGGUAGCCGGCCUGGGAGGGUGACCGGCCACAUUGGGACUGGGAUACGGCCCAGACUCCUACGGGAGGCAGCAGUGGGGAAUAUUGCACAAUGGGCGGAAGCCUGAUGCAGCAACGCCGCGUGCGGGAUGACGGCCUGCGGUUUGUAAACCGCUUUCGCCUGUGACGAAGCGUGAGUGACGGUAAUGGGUAAAGAAGCACCGGCUAACUACGUG